GAAAGAAAAAACACUUCGCCGGUGAAUGGAGUUUGGGUUAGAGUUCAUUUUACGAUCAUCACGUUUAAUACGAUACCAGACAUGAUUCAAAAUAUCACCAAAUUUUGUGAUGAAAUUCAUGCUGAUGAAGUGUUCAACUACACCCCUCCACCAGACUCCCCACAGAGCAGGGACUGUGAGUUCAGCUGGUAUGCUCAGAAUGAGACUGUACUUGGCUAUAGAACGUUACUGGUUCGAGAUGCCUGUGAGACGGGGAUUCGGCUUGUUAUAAGGUGUUAUGACACAGAUAAAACA